rnacentral:rRNA from 1 species
UACGUAGGUGGCAAGCGUUGUCCGGAUUUAUUGGGCGUAAAGCGAGUGCAGGCGGUUCAAUAAGUCUGAUGUGAAAGCCUUCGGCUCAACCGGAGAAUUGCAUCAGAAACUGUUGAACUUGAGUGCAGAAGAGGAGAGUGGAACUCCAUGUGUAGCGGUGGAAUGCGUAGAUAUCACACAGAACACCGAUUGCGAAGGCAUCUCACGAAUCCGCGAUUGACGCUGAUGCACGAAAGCGUGGGUAUCAAACAGG